AGAGACGUCCGGAGGAGUGUGUCUUCCGAGCACAUGAUUGCUGGAGCCUCUGAGGGGACAAAAGUAAAGAAAGAAAGGAACUGACAAGAUCUGUUUAAAGAACGAAAGCAUUCUGGCGUGUAUAUCCUCCAUGUACGUCGCACUCCACAGCAGCUAAUGAUAUAAACCCUAAGGCCCGGUGUUGCAAAUGAAAGCUUAGAUCAGGUAGAUAUGGCUCCACUCGUCUACUCAAAUACAAGUUUCUUCAGUGCCAGUCAGGACAGUCUUGUCUUUCUUGUCUUCAAGGUGAGCGGCAAAUAUUCAUCUGUCU